rnacentral:lncRNA from 1 species
GCCACCCUGGAUGAGACAAUGCUUCACGUGUAGACUUAGGGAUGGAAACAGAGGACAAAGAAAAUAGAAAAGCAUAAUAGAGUGAUGACAAACGAUGAUAACUUAAACCGAUAUAAUGGGGAUCAGGAUUAAGGGUGUUCCGGAUACUUUUCCGAAGUGCAAUCGGAAGAGACAAGUCCGCAGUAGGAGCAGGGUCAGGUGCAGGA